rnacentral:sRNA from 1 species
GUUGAGAUUUAACCUCCUCUGUGGUUCAAUGCUAGAAUAGAAUUCGUUUUCAAGGUAGAUCCUAUGGUUGCAUAAACUAGGUGAAAUUCCAUUAAUGUCAGAUAAUGAAUAACCAAUUGCUCUCCUAUACUUUCUAAGUUCAGAUAAUAGCAGGUUCACUUCGUCAUCAUUUAACUCUGCAUUAAUGAUCACAGGGUAAGUAGAGUUUGGACCAAGGAAUGCGUACCUUA